rfam:Leuconostoc lactis strain WIKIM21 contig00030, whole genome shotgun sequence.
GUUAUCCUGUAUAAUGGUUUGAGUAGAGAAGUUAAGGCGGUGGCUAUUUCCUUAAAGGGGGUGGUGCUUAUGGUGUAAAAACUAUAAACUCACAUUCUAGGAAAGGAGUAGCCUAAGUGUCCGUAUCGGAUGCUUUACAACUUAUGCUGAUGUUUGGUACUUUUACAGUUGCCUUACUAGCCUUAGUUGUUG